rnacentral:rRNA from 1 species
GGAUUGACGUGAUGGUCAUGCCUUAAGAGGCAUGAACUGUUACAGUUGAUUUCUCUCACCUUCUGGGGAAACUUGAUGUUCCUGUCUUGCGAAUCGAAGACCUUUACCUUGAAAAAAUUAGAGUGUUUAAAGCAGACAUUUUUUUGUUCGAAUACAUUAGCAUGGAAUAAUGAAAUAGGUCGGCAUGGUUCUAUUUUGUUGGUUUCUCGAAUCACUGUAAUGAUUAAUAGGGAUAGUUGGG